rnacentral:rRNA from 1 species
GACGGAGGAUGCAAGUGUUAUCCGGAAUCACUGGGCGUAAAGCGUCUGUAGGUGGUUUAAUAAGUCAACUGUUAAAUCUUGAGGCUCAACCUCAAAAUCGCAGUCGAAACUAUUAGGCUAGAGUAUAGUAGGGGUAAAGGGAAUUUCCAGUGGAGCGGUGAAAUGCGUAGAGAUUGGAAAGAACACCGAUGGCGAAGGCACUUUACUGGGCUAUUACUAACACUCAGAGACGAAGCUAGGGUAGCAAAUGGG